AAUGCGGCCCAUAAAAUCAAUCUGACUAGUGGGACCCACCUGUCAGCGAAAGAGGCCAAAUCUUGCCGUCGCUGGCGCUCGAGCUCGCCCGGCGACCUCGCCCCUUGCCGUGGCCGCGGCGGCGACCUCGCCCUCGCCGUCGACCUCCCUCUCUCCCUCCCGCACUCGCCGGCGACCUCCCUCCCGCCACCAAAUUUCCCAUCUUGGCGAAGGUCUUCCCCGCGUCGCCUCCUCGCCGCCGCCCCGCCGUGCGCCGCCUCCUCGCCGGCUCGUUGCAGUUGCAGGUAGCACUCCUCGGACUCGUUGAACCUCUUGCGGUCUUGCAGCCAGCAGCAACCUAGAUCUACUUGCCUAAAUCUGUACGCAGCAGCUUUGGUUCUGUAUGCAGCAGCCAGCAGCAGCAGCUUGAAUUUCUGUAAGCCGGGUUGUGGCCGCGGCUGCCGUUGCCACCAUUAGCGGAACAUGUUUCUAUAAUCAAGUUGAGUUGGUCAGAGGAUUGAUUCAAACUUUGCCUUUAUUUUUGUAGUGAUAAUUUUGAUUGGACAAUGAAAUUCAGACAACUGUUUGACUUUGCAAUUUUUUUGUGUUUGGUAACCAUCAAAUAGAUAAACAGCUCUGGCUGCUUGCAUGUGAGUACAUUCAAAUAUGAUUUGGGGUCCCCUUCCAUGCCUUCACAUUGCAGAAAUAAUAAAUUAUGACAAGUUCAGACAAUGGUGCAAGUUUAUCAUGUAAAUUAGGACAUAUAGAUAAACAAACAAGGGUAGGAACAGGCAACUACACAUCUGAAACUCUCAGACCUCGCUCUUCAGUUCAUUUAAAUGUAGUUCGCUUGACUUUGCUGAGAUCCUGUGCACCAAAUCAUCAGCACUUUGAGAUAAUUAGGAAGCUGUCCUGAUCAAGCAUUUCAGGCACAUUCAGGCAGUAACCAUAUGAGCUUUCUAUGCAGUUUCUAUGCAAGCCAUCAUUGUCAGCAAAUAUUAAAACUGCAGGUUUGUCAGCAACUAUGAAUUACUGGGAACAAGAUCAGCUCAUCAGCUUUCAGAAAGUUAGAAGCCGAGAGAGAAUUACAGCAACAGCAAGAGUCACAGCAGCAAACAGCAGCCCAACUGGAGUGCACAACAACAGCCCAGUUGUGAAUUGCAUUUUUCACUUUUUUAUGAACUGGUGAUGAGCUACAAUCAUCUGAUUGUAAUAGUAGAAUAGCACUUGCUGCCACCUUGUAAAGAAAUGGAGUGAUCAAACUUGGGCAAAGAUUACUUGACAACUGCCACCUUAAUACAAUCUAUUUUCUUUGAUGGAAGGAAAGCAGAAAUUUUGUAUUUGAAUUAAUUAUAUGAGCUGAGCUGAGGCACAGCUUAUUGAACUUUGAGGAUCAGUAUCUUGCAUUUGAUUGAUUGUAUGCUGAACUGAGACCUCACCUGAUCUGUAUCUUCAGUUUAUAUUAGUUGGCUGCCCCUUUUUCAA